GUAAAGAAGGAACUGGGUGAUGGGAAAUGGAGCUUUAUUUAUCUGGAGGGGAAGUGAGAAUUUCUCUGACGCAGAUAAGCCCAGACCUGUCCCCAGAACCUUGCAGGGCUGCCGGGCCACCAUCUUUUCUAGGACUCUGAGUCUCUCACCCACUGCUGUGGGCCUGGUCCCUCCAGCUCAGGGUCUGGCUGAAUUUUCUUCAGGUGGUUAACAAAAGUAUCAAUCUUUCCCAGAUUUCUGGCAUCACACACUGUGACCUGGAGCUUUUGUUGCCCAGCAGGAUAGAAUCAAGAUCAAAUUAAAGCCUAAAAGCACAGUCACAUCCCAUUUCAAAAGUCUGGCAUAUAGAAAUAUGCACACAGAGUGCUCAGAUGCAACAGCUGGGACAGGGUAGGGAACCUGGGUCCAAGGUCGUCCUGCAGUCGCCGAGGCCGAGCCGGACCAGGAUGGCCUGGUUGCUGGUGGCGCUGCUCUCCGAGGAGGGGCUGGGCUCGCCCUUCAAACUGUCGAUGACUCACAGAAACGUGCUCCCAGGAUCCGCACUUCGUUUGUGCACGUUGCACUCCGAUAUUUUUCACUCCCGUGGGAUUCCAGUUGAGAAGGAAAGCCGUUUCCCAAGGCAAGGCAAUGACAGAGUCUGUGGAUCCCAUCACGGCAACAGAGGUGGAUGGAGAGACCCUUGGCCAGGGCGUCUCUGCGGUCUUCAGAAAACCAGUCCAGAGCAGCUCUUGGGGGUCAACGGCAGUUUCCGCUGCCCCUCACAACAUCCUUGUCCCUGAGCUGCCCAACAGUCCCCGGAUGAACAUGUGUGAUCAGCAGACAGAGCUGGGAAGCCUCCACUUAGCCCAUCAGCUUGGCCUCUGAGCGGGUUAGAGUGACCUGCAGAGAAGAAAGACAAGUGCUUCGCAGGUGCCACAUGGGUGGGAUACUGUCCUGCCCAACUGAAUGUCACCUGUCCUUUCUCCUCUCCCGGGGCUCCUGGACUUCAGCAGAGCUCAUCUGAUGGUUUCAUGCCCUGGUUUUCCAGCCCAGUAAAACUCGAUGUGAACUCCAGGCCCCACAAGACCCAGCCUUCCCUGCCGCCAACUCAGCCUCCUAGUCCUCCCACACUGCCGGCUUCUCGGCUGCCUUCUUGGGCCAGGAACUCCCUCCCCCUGGAGCCUGUGUGAUGCUGUCCCUCUGCCUGGGAAGCUCUUCCUCAUCCCUCCCCCAGCCUUCUCCUAACCCCAGGGAUUGCAAAUGGCAAAGGAGAGGAUUUCACAGAGCAAAUGGACCUGCUCUCUGGAACCCUGAAUCCUAGAGGGAUUCUUCUCCAAUUCUCCAAAUUAUUUCAAAGGAAACAUCUCGAUUUGAUGCUAAUAUACCUUCUGCACCCAACCUCAGCCUAGUUUAUCUUCCUUUUGAACAAAGAACAAGCCUGGGCUCCUGCAGACGCGCACCUCUGUGGAGGAUGAUUGUUUUUAUUUCUAUGGUUACCUUAGCACUGCAGAAAUGCUGCUCUCCCAUUUACUCCGGCGGUAUAGUUUUCCUUCCAAAUAAAAGUUGCUUAGUGACAACAAAAAUAAGUUUAUUUCAAGAAAAAUACUGAACAAAGGAUCACCCAGGGAGUGAGUGGACGUGGGGAAGGAGCAG
rnacentral:lncRNA from 1 species